GCCGAAGUGGCGAAAUGGCAGACGCAGUUGACUCAAAAUCAUCCGGGAUAACACCCGUGUCGGUUCGACUCCGACCUUCGGCACCA
rnacentral:tRNA from 1 species